rnacentral:lncRNA from 12 species
CCCCCCCCCCCCCCCCCCCCCCCCCCCCCCCCCCCCCCCCCCCCCCCCCCCCCCCCCCCCCCCCCCCCCCCCCCCCCCCCCCCCCCCCCCGGGGCGGGGGCUGAGCCUGAGCCUGAGGGGAGCGCUGAGGGAAGCCUUGAAACUCCUGGUUGUGACAUCUGCUGUGGUACAACACCAGCUCCAGAUGUAGCUGCAACCCACAGAACAAUACACCAUGACGUGAGUAUCACCUUUAAAUACAGGCUUUCCAACAUCUGCUUUACUUUUGGACGAGAGUCAAACUCUUCCGCAACACUAUCCCAGCUCCUCCCAGCAACCCCCCCCCGAUCCCAACAGAGUUCAAGAGUGCAGCCACGAAACCUUUGUCAAACGAGAUUCUUGUAGCAACCUCCCUCCCCAGCCUGGGGACUGCACAGAAAUCCCCUUGCGAGGGAGUCC